AAUAAUUAACUUAAUGGUGAGGCAUAAAAUGUAUCUUUUGUCAGGCUGGAUGUUUGAAAUAUGAGUUUUUUGGACUACUUUGAACAUCACUGUCAGUUUUAAAGCUUUUGAAAAAGCUAACAUAAGUGCAUGUGACAGAUGGGAACAAUAAUAACAAGACUCUUUUUUUAUAUCAAGAGGCUUGAAAAAUGAUUGUGAUAUAAUGCUUAUUUCAUUGAAUGUAUGUGCAGUUGAAAUUUGGCCAUAGAAUUUAUUUCUGAAAAAUAUGUAUUUUCAGCAUCUUGAAAAUACAUAUUUUUGUCGUCCGGAAAAUACAUAUUUUCACCUUUCAUUCAGCACCUAAAUUCAACGUACUGAAAAUACGUAUUUUCAACGUCCAUAAAGGUAGUCUUUUCGACGUCCGUAUAAGAUAUUUUUUCAACAUCCAUAAAAUACAUUUUCUAAACUUUCAUUCAGCAGCUGAAAUGCAUGUUUAUUUUAUAUAUUUUAUUUAACCUUUGUUUAACUAUGCAAGUCAGUUAAGAACAAAUUCUUAUUUACAAUAACGGCUUACACAUAUCAAUGUCUGGAAAAGACGUCUUUUCAACAUCAUUUUGCUUACUGGGUAGUUUGGGUAUGUGUUGGCUUCUAAUGGUAAUCUUUUGUCUGUGUAAUUGCACUGUUUUGCUGCACAUUUUCUUCUGUUCCACUGAAUGCAAUUUUGAUGUUCUAUUAUGACUAAAUUUGUUUUCAGAAUUUAACAAAUAGGCCUAUGUAUUUUAUUUCAUUAUCCUAUACAAUCUACCAUGAGUUACCCCAAAAAUAUUUCUAUCCCAUUUUAUUUCCAUAAUUAGUAAAAUUAUUGCACCCGAAUUUGACCCUGGAAAUACAGUAUGACAAUUAGAUUUUCCCGUAAAGUUUUUAAGCAAUUAACAUAAAUGCGUGCAGUCAUUUUAUUUACAUUUCUGUAUCUAAAUAAGCAGGUAGGCAUAUCAGUUCCAACUUAAACUUGGAUUGGAAACUAUGCCUUGCCUUCUUGCUGAAGCGUCAACAUUCCAUAUGGCCGUUGGGACAGAGCGCCUGAUAGGCUACAUAGCAACACAGCUGGAAAACGACAGUUUAUCAAAAUUUGCAAAAAAUAAAGAAAUAGUAAUAUUUGACUGCUAAGUGGUCAUCCAUGUUCUCAUGCAUUCUUGUUUUACAUUUGUAAGUAAAUCGGCGGUUUGUUGGGGAGAAGAACGUCAAGGAAAGUUUUGCUAGCUGGCUAAUUUUAGCUAGCUAGCUAGCUAACGUUAGCUCUCUGGCUAAUCCUCCAUGGACAUGUAAUCUUCUAGUUUGGAUGGCAGACAGAAGUUAUCCAGCCGGCUGACUAAGAAAUUUCCUUAAACAUGUCAAUGACCUGAUGUAGUGCUUGUCCACCCACCUAUUCUCCCACAUCCCAGGGAAAGGAUAGAGCAGAACCAGCCCUUCUUAAAUCCGUAGUCAUUGACAAUCUCACUGAGACUGUAUUCCCCAAAAGACAUGCUAUUCAGCUCCCCAUGAUUGCUUGAUCUUAGUACCUUCCUUGGUGACCUUUCUUUUUUUAAGACUGCCAAGCUGUCCUGGAUUGGAGGAACUGUCCUGGUGUCACGCAUGUGUGUAGGAACGGACCAAGGCGCAGCAGCCAGAAAACUUGGGAGGUUGAUGUGUUGCGGGCCGUCGGUAAAGUCCUAAAAUGUGCACCUGACCGCCGUGGUGGAGGAGGACCUAAAAUCUGACCCAUCACACCACUCGUCAAAAGGGCCAUUGCGCUCCAGAUCGCCUUCUUUGCUCAGAGGUCCUUGAUGAGGAUCUACCCCACCACAUCACUCUUAAUAAUCAUCAAUAAUAAAAGCAAUAGGCCUUCA